GCCUCCUCCUUCCCGCGGCGGGGCCCGCCGACCCAGCGCCCUCCGCCUCCGCUUUUAUCUGUCUGUGUGUUAGAGCUUUCCAAAAGCCUCAGGCAUUCCCCCUAUCAGUUAGUCGUUGCGGGCCUGGAGCCUGGAUAGAAUCGUAUAAUGGAAUUACAGGAUGGUCUGGGUUGGAAGCGACCUUAAAGAUCAUCCCGUUCCAACCCCCUUGCCACGGUAAGGGUCACAUUCCACUAGACCAGGUUGGUCAAAGCCCCCUCCAACCUGGCCUCGAACGCUUCCAGGGAUGGAGGCAUCCACAGCGUCUCUGGGCAACCUAUUCCAGUGCCUCACCACCCUCGCAGUUAAGAACCUCUUCUUAAAUAUCUAAACAUAUUUUCAGUUUAAAACCAUUCCCCCUUGUCCUGUCACUGCAUGCCCUUGCAAAAUGUCCCUCUCCAAAAGUCAACUAGAAAGAGAACAGUAAGAAUAUCUAUUUAUUCUUUCUCUAUUUUUAUUUAGAGCAGUCUAACUUUAAAUGGUAAAAUGCUAGAGAGGUUCUAGAGGCCUACUUUAGCCAGGAGUGCCUAAAGCAGUUCAUUUUUAUUUAGAGCAGUCUAAACCACUGGUUUGCAGACAGUAUCUUCUGCUGUGUGCUCAUUAAAACAAAGCAUAAGGGAAAUGGGCACCAGCUGCACAGAACAGGGUAGGGGCAAAGGGGACACUGGUGUCGGGCAGGGGGAUGGUGGAUGAACUGUGUCUUGCUUUCCCUGCAGAGUGAAGGUACGAGGGGCGACAAGAGCAGGAGGAAUGUGCCUCAGGGGUAAAGUUGAGGAAUAUGGUCUGGAAAAGAGGGUGACUGCACCUGAAGGCAUUGCUCAGAACAGGAAGGUGUAUGCUAAUGAAAGCAGCAAAGAAAACUACAGGAAGAAGCGCAGGCUCGGAUGAGAAGGGAAGGGUAAGUGCGAAAGUCAUCAGCGCUGAGGAGACCAGAGAAGUCACCCAGAGGCCAGGGCAGAGGGUGGAGGGAGAAGCAGCAGCGCACCAAAGCCAGAAACCAGCAGAGCCUGAGAGGAGGGCGAUACAUGGACCUAAGUGAUACAAAAUGCUGCAGUGCUUGGUUAUUCUGGAGUGAGCGUGUUGCUGUGGAGUUUCUUGCCCCAAAUUUUGAACGAUGUAUUAAUAAAUUUUAAAACUGCUAGUGUCUUCUUUGAUUU
ensembl:lncRNA